CAUAUCACUGAUGAGUACCCUGGGGUGUCUGAAUGGAGAGCUUUGACUAAGCCCUGUCACUCAGAGGUCCAU
rnacentral:snoRNA from 1 species